CCGCCAUCUUGGAAUAAGGGGAAUAGGUCCUAUAUUAGUAUUCAUCUUAGAGGUCGAUUUAGAUUUUUGGGGUGAUGUGUGCUUUGAGCUCCUUAAAACUUGAUGCUUUCAUUAUGAGCAGUGGGCAUUGUUCAACCUAAGUAUCAGAAAAUGAAAUGUUUUCUCCAUCAAUAAGCUAUACAGAACAUUUCAAAACUGCAAAGACUACAGUAUCAGAGAAGGCUACAUAAUUGGGUUUACAACAUAAUAAUAAUACUAUUUAUUGUUUC